UACGUAGGGAGCAAGCGUUGUCCGGAAUCAUUGGGCGUAAAGCGCGCGUAGGCGGCCCGGUAAGUCCGCUCUGAAAGUCCAGGGCUCAACCCUGGAAUGCGGGUGGAUACUGCCGGGCUAGAGUCCGGAAGAGGCGAGUGGAAUUCCUGGUGUAGCGGUGGAAUGCGCAGAUAUCAGGAGGAACACCAAUAGCGAAGGCAGCUCGCUGGGACGGUACUGACGCUAAGGCGCGAAAGCGUGGGGAGCGAACAGG
rnacentral:rRNA from 1 species